rnacentral:ncRNA from 1 species
AACUGGUUGAGUUGAUACGAAUUGAUAAGUUAUUUAUUAGAGUCAAAGUGACCAUUUUAACAAGAGAUUAACUUGAAUCAAGUUAAACGUUCAACUGAGAGUAACAAGUUGACCAUGGUUCUGCAAUAUUAAUGUUUGGUUUAAACAUGGUUUAAUAGACCUUGAUAAAUUGGUUCACAUAAAAAUGAACCUUGAGUCAUUUUUUGUUAGGCUAGGUAAGGUUAGGUUAGGCAAGGUUAGACUAGAUAAAAGUCGAUGAACAAUGAGUUCAAAUUGAAACUUGUCAUAAUAAACUUACUACAGAUGUGACUCAAAGUUUAUUUAACAAUUUGCAGAGGUGAAACUCUUGGACCGUCACAAGACAAAGCACAGUGAAAACAUCUGCUAAGAAUGUUUUCAUUAAUCAAGAACGAAAGUUGGAGGUUCGAAGGGGAUCAGAUAUUGUCCUAAUUAAAGCAAUAAAAGAUGCCAACUUCAAUCAUUCUGAGUAACUAAUUUCAUGACUUGAAUGGAGCUUUUGGGAAACCAAAGUUUUUGGGUUCCGGUGGAAGUAUGGUUGCAAAGCUGAGACUUAACUCACUGACUCAACGUUUAAACAUUU